rnacentral:rRNA from 1 species
CUCUUUAUGGGGGGUGACUGCGUACCUUUUGUAUAAUGGGUCAGCGACUUAUAUUCUGUAGCAAGGUUAACCGCAUAGGGGAGCCGAAGGGAAACCGAGUCUUAAUUGGGCGUUAAGUUGCAGGGUAUAGACCCGAAACCCGGUGAUCUAGCCAUGGGCAGGUUGAAGGUUGGGUAACACUAACUGGAGGACCGAACCGACUAAUGUUGAAAAAUUAGCGGAUGACCUGUGGCUGGGGGUGAAAGGCCAAUCAAACCGGGAGAUAGCUGGUUCUCCCCGAAAGCUAUUUAGGUAGCGCCUCGUGAACUCAUCUCCGGGGGUAGAGCACUGUUUCGGCUAGGGGGCCAUCCCGGCUUACCAACCCGAUGCAAACUGCGAAUACCGGAGAAUGUUAUCACGGGAGACACACGGCGGGUGCUAACGUCCGUCGUGAAGAGGGAAACAACCCAGACCGCCAGCUAAGGUCCCAAAGUCAUGGUUAAGUGGGAAACGAUGUGGGAAGGCCCAGACAGCCAGGAUGUUGGCUUAGAAGCAGCCAUCAUUUAAAGAAAGCGUAAUAGCUCACUGGUCGAGUCGGCCUGCGCGGAAGAUGUAACGGGGCUAAACCAUGCACCGAAGCUGCGGCAGCGACACUGUGUGUUGUUGGGUAGGGGAGCGUUCUGUAAGCCGUUGAAGGUGUCCUGUGAGGGGUGCUGGAGGUAUCAGAAGUGCGAAUGCUGACAUAAGUAACGAUAAAGCGGGUGAAAAGCCCGCUCGCCGGAAGACCAAGGGUUCCUGUCCAACGUUAAUCGGGGCAGGGUGAGUCGACCCCUAAGGCGAGGCCGAAAGGCGUAGUCGAUGGGAAACGGGUUAAUAUUCCCGUAC